rnacentral:rRNA from 1 species
UACGGGAGGAGCGAGCAUUAUUCAAAAUGAUUAGGCGUAAAGGGUUUGUAGGUGGUUUUUUAAGUUUGAAAAAAAAAAGAGUAAAGACUCAACUUUAAUACAUUUUUUUCAAAAACUGAAAAUCUAGAGUACAUAUAGAGGAUAAUGGAAUUUUUAUUGUAGGGAUAAAAUCUAUUGAUAAUAGAAGGAACAUCAAAAGCGAAAGGCAAUUAUCUGGGUCUGUACUGACACUGAGAAACGAAAGCUUGGGGAGCAAACGGGAUUAGAUAACCCGAGU